ensembl:lncRNA
AUGGCUUGCACCCAGCGCUGGGCCACUGCCAGGGCCAACUGGCUGCUCUGCCAGCGGCCCAUCAUGGCCAUCCUGUGCCUGUGCUGCACUCCCUGGGUGAUGCCUCCACCCACAGGCCCCGGGGCAGGUUCCAGAAGUUUCCAGCAUGGAGCCAGGGCUGUGGCCUUGGGGCCAGUGGUGGUGGAACCCCUCCAGCUACCGGUCCCACAGUGUCUCACCUGGGCCCGGGGAGCACGUUCGCUCCUGGCCCAGCUUCUCGUGGCACUGGGAGCAGGAUGGGCUCAGACGUCCCCAGUCCCUCCAGGUCAUCAACCCCAAGGACACGUCGUGGCUGUGCAGGGCGAAGCAGGAAUAGCUGGGGGGUGGCAACCAUGCAGGCUGCCAGGCAGGGCCCUGCAUCUGAGCCGGCAGUGGGGCCUGGCCUGGGUCCAGGGUGGUGGCAGCAGCCACAAUUACUGUUUCAGUAAAUUACUGUUUUCCACUCUGCAAAGCCUCUGCCUGCAGUUGUUCAGGUGGCAUCAUGUGGAGGGGGCUGAACGCAGCCUCGCCUUGCUGCCUCUGCCCGCCCCACAAAUUGGUUUGGCAAUGUCACCACAGAUGGGAUCAGAUGGAUGGAUGGGGAAUGGCUGCAGGUGGUGGGCACCCAUGGGAGUCUCAAGGAGGAGGAGUCAUUUGUGGGAUGGGAAAUCAUUCCUUGAGGCCCCCAGGGACAAGAUGUGCCCCAUCUGCCUGGGCCCACUAGCCUAUGCAGCUCACUUGGACCCCUGCAGAUGCUCCUGCAGUGAGUGCAUCCAGCUGUGGGCCGCCCACAGAGCCAGCUGCCCGCUCUGCCACCAGCCCAUCAUUGCCAUUGUGCGGCUGGUGCUGCGCUCCCUGUGGGAUGCUUCGGCCCUCCGGCCCUGGGGCAGGUUCCAGCCCAGAGCAGGGCCGGGGCUGAGGCUUCAGGGGCAGCGACGGUGGAGCCCCUCCAGCUACCAGUCCCGCAGCAUCUCGCCCGGGUGCAGUCCCUCCACACCCCAGCAGCAUAUCCGCAGCCUCUCCUGGUGCUGGGAGCAGGACAGGCGCAGAUGGCCCCGGUCCCCAUGGGACACCAACCCCAAGGAUACACCAUGGCUGUGCAGGGCCUGGCAGGAGGAGAUGGGUGCUAAUGAUCAUGCAUGCUGCUGGGCCAGGCCCCUCUUCUGA